rnacentral:rRNA from 1 species
AACGAACGCUGGCGGCGUGCCUAACACAUGCAAGUCGAACGAGAAAGGGGCUUCGGCUCCGAGUAAAGUGGCGCACGGGUGAGUAACACGUAGGUAACCUGCCUCUAAGAUUGGGAUAACCUGUCGAAAGACGAGCUAAUACCAAAUGAGACCACAGUCUCUUCGGAGACAGGGGUCAAAGGUAGCCUCGAUUUAUAAGCUAUCGCUCAGAGAUGGGCCUGCGUACCAUUAGCUAGUUGGUGAGGUAACGGCUCACCAAGGCAAAGAUGGUUAGCUGGUCUGAGAGGAUGAUCAGCCACACUGGAACUGAGACACGGUCCAGACUCCUACGAGAGGCAGCAGUGGGGAAUAUUGCGCAAUGGGCGAAAGCCUGACGCAGCAACGCCGCGUGAGUGAUGAAGGCCUUCGGGUCGUAAAGCUCUGUCGGAGGGAACGAAUGCUCUUGAGGUUAACAGCCUCGGGAGGUGACGGUACCCUCAAAGGAAGCACCGGCUAACUCUGUGCCAGCAGCCGCGGUAA